rnacentral:rRNA from 1 species
AGGGAUGGGCCUGCGGCGGAUUAGGUAGUUGGUGGGGUAACGGCCUACCAAGCCGAUGAUCCGUAGGGGGCGUGAGAGCGUGGCCCCCCACACUGGCACUGAGACACGGGCCAGACUCCUACGGGAGGCAGCAGUGAGGAAUAUUGCACAAUGGGCGCAAGCCUGAUGCAGCAACGCCGCGUGAGGGACGAAGGCCUUCGGGUUGUAAACCUCUUUUCUGAGGGACGAGGAAGGACGGUACCUCAGGAAUAAGUCUCGGCUAACUACGUGCCAGCAGCCGCGGUAAAACGUAGGAGGCGAGCGUUAUCCGGAUUUACUGGGCGUAAAGCGCGCGCAGGUGGCUUCGUGAGUCGGACAUGAAAGCUCCUGGCUUAACUGGGAGAGGCUGUUCGAUACUGCGGGGCUUGAGGUUGGGAGAGGGACGCGGAAUUCCCGGUGUAGUGGUGGAAUGCGUAGAUAUCGGGAGGAACACCAGUGGCGCAAGCGGCGUCCUGGCCCACACCUGACGCUGAGGUGCGAAAGCGUGGGUAGCAAACAGGAUUAGAUACCCUGGUAGUCCACGCUGUAAACGAUGUCAACUGGGUGUCGGUAGUUUUACACUAUCGGUGCCGAAGCUAACGCG